rnacentral:misc_RNA from 1 species
UACUUCUCCCAUUCCCUCAGGAUCUCUUUUUCCAAUGCUCUCAUCCUUUCUCAAGCUGUAGUAAGGAGUGAUGGUAUGAAGAAGGCCAGGGCCGCCAUGGAUGUAAUGUCAAUAUAUCUCUACCUGAAUAUCUUCAUGGCCAGGAGGAGAUUCCGGUGGAACAGCUGAGGGAAAGGAAGCAUUGUUGCUUAUCUGCAAGAUCAGUCUAGCAGUCGCCUGAGAUUGUCCAUUUUGACCGAUCUUUCGUGAAGAAAUAACUCCAGAUUUAGCUGCUUUAGAAGAAUCACUAUUCUCAACUGAUGAUAAGAACUCUGUAAGAUUUGUCUGUGACAUUGCUAUGACAUUACUGAAUACACCAGAUUCUCUGAGUCCUUGGACUAUGACCAUUGGAGCAUAAAUGCGGGUCAAAAUGCCCUUUCUCAUGAGUUUAAUAUUUAGUGAUUUUUCAGUCCACACAACACGUUCCCGGUACCAGUGAAGCAUUUCCUCUUCCGUUGCAGUUGAAGCAAUUAUGAAUGCAGCUCUGUCAAAUUCCAA